rnacentral:rRNA from 1 species
GACGAACGCUGGCGGCGUGCUUAACACAUCCAAGUCGAACGGUAAGGCCCUUCGGGGUACACGAGUGGCGAACGGGUGAGUAACACGUGGGUGAUCUGCCCUGCACUUUGGGAUAAGCCUGGGAAACUGGGUCUAAUACCGGAUAGGACCAUGCGCCUCACGGUGUGUGGUGGAAAGCUUUUGCGGUGUGGGAUGGGCCCGCGGCCUAUCAGCUUGUUGGUGGGGUAAUGGCCUACCAAGGCGACGACGGGUAGCCGGCCUGAGAGGGUGACCGGCCAAACUGGGACUGAGAUACGGCCCAGACUCCUACGGGAGGCAGCAGUGGGGAAUAUUGCACAAUGGGCGCAAGCCUGAUGCAGCGACGCCGCGUGAGGGAUGACGGCCUUCGGGUUGUAAACCUCUUUCAGUAGGGACGAAGCGCAAGUGACGGUACCUACAGAAGAAGGACCGGCCAACUACGUGCCAGCCGCCGCCGUAA